AUGUCAAAACAGUCCACAGAUGGU
rnacentral:siRNA from 1 species